rnacentral:lncRNA from 1 species
CCACACUGAGCUCAGCAUAGUUGGUCGCGGGAGUAUGCAUGUCAUAAUGGAAGGAUGGGCUCUCUUCACCUAGCAGCCGAUUGUCUUAAUUGAUAACAAACACCUGUAGACACGGAAUCCUUGAGUCUUUAUUUGCGUUUUUGUUCAUGGCUUGACCAUUGUCCUAGUAGCACUUGGAAGUGAGGGAGCCCAUGAUGUGGGAUUCCUGGUGGAUAGGAGAGAGGACCGAGAACCGCAGGGAACAACUCGGGACGGAUAAACAACGUUUUAAAUUUAUGAGCAGCAGGGAGGUUGGAGAGUGAGCAGCGCCACCCUGAGGCCAGGGAGGCAAUGGCGUCAGGAACGGAAGCCUGCCGCUUAGGUCGAGCAGCUGCGCGAUCACAUGGCCCCGGCUACAUUUAGAGAUGCUUCUAAACAAAAUGUCAGCUGCUAGCUAACGGCGAUGACCAAUCCCCAGAGCCCCUUCAGAGUCCGGCCCCCAACUUCCCAGCAGCCCCAAGGGUUGGCCUCAAAGUUGCUGUGUGGAUGAAGAUGAACUUGGACUCCUGAUCCUCUUUCCUCUACUUCCCAAGUGCUGAUGUAAUGGAUUCUGUCACCAUGCUUACCUUACAGGGUCAUACACGGCUCAUGUUCAAGUGUUAGGUUCUCUGGGGCUGCGUAAAUGGACAACUGCUCAGACGUGUCACCUGUCAGGGAUGGGGCAAGGAUGCCAGGCAUCAGGGAGUCUGGAGUCUAAGUCAAAAGAAUGGUCUGUGGAGCAUUGGGAUGAACAGCAGACCCUUCAAAGACAGUGGGGACGGGCUGGCUCUAACAGGGCCCCAGCGUAUCUGCACGCAUUCCUUCUCUUGCUGCGGCAAGCCUUUGUGCAUUCUCCUGGCCGCUCACACUGUGCCCAUGUGUCCGGGUAGCGCCUUCCUUGUCUGAUCCUCUUUGCUUCUGACUCUGCCGAUAACCUGUAAACCCUUCUUUGAGAGUCUCGAACUCUCUUCAUCUCCUUCCCAACUCUGAUCAAACAAACAAACAAACAAACACUGGACACCCACUCUCAGGAGCAGCUGUUGUGCAGAACUAGAAUAUCAGAUGAUGUCAGUGACGACUGGCCAGCCUGCAGAGGGCUACCAUUGACUCUGGUGAAGAUCCCUGUCGCAGUCUGCCAUGACCAGGGGUUUGGGACUCUGCUACCUGCCAGUCAGUACCUUCAUGACUUUGCUGUCAGCCGUCAGACAGCCCUGUAGACAGGGUAGCUUCAACAAAAGCUCUCUAAGGGCUCAUGGUUCUGGAGGCCAGCAGUCUUAGCAUCAAAAGGGUUGAUCCUUUUUAGAGAUGUGAAACACCCUCACCCCGGCCCCCAGCUCUGGCUGGUUUGCUGGUUCUGCAGAGCUCCUUGGAUUAUAGAAGCAUCAUCCCCAGACCUCGCCUCUGCCCGCUACUUCCCAUGGCCACCUUCCAGUGUAUGCAUCCAAAGUCCCCCUUUCGCUGCAGACACUAGGCAUAAUGGAUCAAAGGAUUAGGAGACAUUUACAUCAAACACUACUGCUCCAGCCACUGUGAAAUCCUGAGACCUGUCUGCCUGCUGAUUUGGUAAUGACUGA